rnacentral:RNase_P_RNA from 1 species
GGAGCAGGUCAGGCGGUCGCGCUCGCCGCCUCUUCUGGGGUGGCGGGUGAGGAAAGUCCGGACUCCUCGGGCCAGGGUGCUGGGUAACGCCCAGGUCGGGGUGACCCGAUGGAAAGUGCCACAGAAAACAGACCGCCGAAGGCCCCCUCGACAGGGGCCAGGCAAGGGUGAAAAGGUGGUGUAAGAGACCACCAGCGGCCGCCGAGAGGCGGUCGGCUUGGCAAACCCCACCCGGAGCAAGGCCAAAUAGGAGGGCAUGGGACGGCCCGCCCAACGCCCUCGGGUUCGGCCGCUUGAGGCCUGUGGCAACACAGGCCCCAGAUGAAUGACCGCCACCCCAGACCGGGCAACCGGCUGGGGGACAGAAUCCGGCUUAUCGACCUGCUCCGGGC